UAUUGUUAGGGUUCUGAUACCAUGUAAGGGUGGAUUGACAAAUACAGGUACUUUGUACAGUUUAAUCGUUGAUUUAACAAACUUGGAAACACAAAUCUAAAACAAAAUGGAGGUUAGGUUUGCUGCUUAAGGUGUGACGCCGUUAUCUAUUCGUGUCUGACAGAACUGGCAUCUCCACCUUUAGCGGCCAUAUUACUUUUCUAGCUGCGCAUGCGCACUAGACGGAUCAUAUUAGUUGUCAGCAGGUUGUUUUAUAGAAGUGGACUGGCGCCAAAUAUAUUUGGCCAGCAGUUCUUACUUCAACACCCCCUCCCAAACUGAGGAACUGACAACUAGUCAACAGAUAAGACAUAUACAGAUAAGUUCCAACCAACUGACUUCAAUAGUUAAAAUAGAAUAUAUACAGUACAAUAAAUACAAAUAAUAGUUAAUAUUUCUUUUGAGUUUAUAUAAAUCAAGCCUUAAAACUAAAUCAACAGGAUUGUCAGUGGAACUGUAGAGGCUGUUACUGUAAGGCAAUCGAAUAGGGUUCCUUAUAGCGAACCAACUUUCCUGAAUAUUUUGUAUGGUAUCAAUACAUUGUUUCCAGGGACCGGAGACCCUUCCAACAAGUGAUAUUAUACCACCAGAUCAACAUAUACAUAUAACAGAUACAUAUUAAGUUCCUUCAUAUAGAACUAACUUGAUUAAUUCAUCACACACACAUACGUGUCCGAAUUUUUUUGAUUUCGCAUCUAUCAUUACCAGGGACCGGAGACCCUUCAAAUCAAGACACUAGUGUUUAUGAAAGAACCGAAGAACCUUUCAAUAAAACUCCGACAUAUACACAACAGAUUUUUAGUAUUGUCUAAGCAUGUUUCCAGGAACCGAAGAACCUUUCCACACAGACACAUAUUCAACAGAUUUUUAGUAUUGUCUAAGCAUGUUUCCAGGAACCGAAGAACCUU